UUUGUGUGCGAAUGUCAUAAC
ensembl:piRNA 21ur-739 ncRNA